GUGUGUGUGUGUGUGUGUGUGUGUGUGUGUGUGUGUGUGUGUGUGUGUGUGUGUGUGUGUGUGUGUGUGUGUGUGUGUGUGUGUGUGUGUGUGUGUGUGUGUGUGUAAACAACAUACUGUUAUAUGCUGUAUGAAUGGGUGAAGCCGUGUAUCCCCUUUUCACAAUAAUGAGCGAGUGUAAGUUUGAUGCCCCUCUCUUGCUCAGUGUGUUUUUGGUGCUGUUAAAUCACACUGGACCUUUUCUGGAAAAAAGACUUGAAUCGAAAAAGUGUAGGGCUCCUCUUCUGAAGAGGCGAGCCACUGUGAGAGAGGGGAGAAACAUCUAGAUUGUAGCCUACUUGAAUUGUUUUAGUUUUUUAUGUAAGUUGAGAUUUUUUAUUUACUUUCUCUGCUUAUUGACUCAAACCAACUUAAUAUAACACAACGCCUUAGUUUGUAUUGAAAAAGUAUGAUAAAGAUCUAUGCAGGACUGUAAAACGCUCAAUGCAAAAGUGCAAGUCGCCGCUUGGCUUUCAACCUCUACUCCACUUGUCAGUGCAUUUCUGGAGUUGUGAAUGUUUGUAGAUGUUGUGUCACCGUAGACUGUAAAAAUAGAGGACGUAGCAGCCGUGACAUUCCCCAUUGGUUUGUGGACUGCCGUUUUCAAGCUUCAAGCUUGGCAAUCUUGGUUGGCAUAAUGCUGAACAGUACAUUUUAAGUGACCAAAUGUUCCAAUUAAAUUUAAUGAAGUGAAAACACAAAGUGAGAGGGUCAAAGUUUAAGACAAAACCAUGAACAGCACCCAAAAACAAGUUCACGACUAUUUUAAUGUACAAAGGGCCAUGGAUAUGCAUUGCUAAGCCUCUACUGUGAUUGACAGGUCGGUAUGUAGCUACACCCACAAAGCAUCCCCCCCAUGUGUCAAUUUUAAAAUAAAUGGGACCAUAAUUUGCAAAACAAACAUGAUGUAUUUAAGAAGACUUGAAAGUAGUGAUGUAGGCCAUAAAUUUAUUAUGAUAAUGUUUACUGAAAUAAUAAGACGUGAGAAUUUAGGUCCUUUGCCUUGAUUUAUAGAAACUGACUUAUUUUUGCAACCAGUGGAGUCACCGCUUGCAGGAAUUUAGAUAAAAUGCAGGUUUAAGGCAUUUCUGCAUAGGCUUCACUUUUCAGGCCCAGAAGCUUUGUCUACUAUUUUUACAGUCUAUGUAUGCCACUCAAGACUUUUUUUUUUUUUCUUUCUUUCUUUCUGGUGUGUGUUUAUGCAUCUACUGAAUAAACGUACAGGGACUAGAGAGCUGAGCUGAACACAAACAAAGUCACACUCCCAUAGAAACGGUUACGUCCGUUGCUAGCUAGUUCAACUACCAUUGUACAGUCAGUAAAGUUACAUUCAUUGUCGGUCUGAAUACACCUGUAGAGAUCACAUUACCUUUCUUCGGCUGAAUACCUCCGUUAACAAAACCGUUCUUCCUGAGUCUCUCGCAGCCCUUCCCCGACUAGUUCCAUGUGUGUCUGACUGACCAGCUGCACCGAGAAUGGCGCCAAAGAUUGUUCUGUAACAUUAACGUUAGCUCAUUUAGAUGGGGUGUUGCUGGUGUGUGUAUGUGUGUGAGUGUGGGAUUAUUCUGACAUCUCCCCCCCCCCCCCCCCCCCCCCCCCCCCAAAAUAUAAACCCAUGAGUGUCAAUGUGCGGUCCUUCAGGAUGUCAGUGUAAAGUCUUGUGACUGGAGCAGUGGGUGACAUCUUAUACAUUUUGCUUUCUUUGGGGUUCAGGAAGGAUAGAAAUGACAUUACGUGGUUAAUUGGUUACUUAAUUUGGUCUUUUGUAGAUUAUUUUUGUGUGUUAAAUAUGAAAUUAAACAAAACAGGUGGUUUUCA